rnacentral:rRNA from 1 species
UACGAGAGGUCCAACCGUUAUUCGGAAUCACUGGGCUUACAGAGUUCGUAGGCGGUACGGAAAGUGGGGUGUGAAAGCCCUCGGCUCAACCGAGGAACUGCGCUCCAAACUACCGUGCUAGAGGAAGAUAGAGGUGAGCAGAACUGAUGGUGGAGCGGUGAAAUGCGUUGAUAUCAUCAGGAAUACCGGAGGCGAAGGCGGCUCACUGGGUCUUUUCUGACGCUGAGGAACGAAAGCUAGGGGAGCAAACGGG